rnacentral:rRNA from 1 species
GAUGAACGCUGGCGGCGUGCCUAAUACAUGCAAGUCGAGCGAACGGACGAGAAGCUUGCUUCUCUGAUGUUAGCGGCGGACGGGUGAGUAACACGUGGAUAACCUACCUAUAAGACUGGGAUAACUUCGGGAAACCGUAGCUAAUACCGGAUAAUAUUAUGAACCGCAUGGUUCAAAAGUGAAAGACGGUCUUGCUGUCACUUAUAGAUGGAUCCGCGCUGCAUUAGCUAGUUGGUAAGGUAACGGCUUACCAAGGCAACGAUGCAUAGCCGACCUGAGAGGGUGAUCAGCCACACUGGAACUGAGACACGGUCCAGACUCCUACGGGAGGCAGCAGUAGGGAAUCUUCCGCAAUGGGCGAAAGCCUGACGGAGCAACGCCGCGUGAGUGAUGAAGGUCUUCGGAUCGUAAAACUCUGUUAUUAGGGAAGAACAUAUGUGUAAGUAACUGUGCACAUCUUGACGGUACCUAAUCAGAAAGCCACGGCUAACUACGUG